rnacentral:rRNA from 1 species
UACAGGGGGGGCAAGCGUUGUUCGGAAUUACUGGGCGUAAAGGGCUCGUAGGCGGCCAACUAAGUCACACGUGAAAUCCCCAGGCUUAACCUGGGAACUGCGUGUGAUACUGGAUGGCUUGAGGUUGGGAGAGGGAUGCGGAAUUCCAGGUGUAGCGGUGAAAUGCGUAGAUAUCUGGAGGAACACCGGUGGCGAAGGCGGCAUCCUGGACCAAUUCUGACACUGAGGAGCGAAAGCCAGGGGAGCAAACGGG